UGCAUACUGAGCCGCUUGAUCAACGGCUGCUCAACGGUCUGUGGCGGCACAAAUGAAUACACCGGCUGUCAUUUGAGCUGACGGCUGCAAUCCUGAAUGGAGCGAUCCAUCUGGAAUGCGGUCUGAUUCGUCAUGCCCAUUUGCCG
rnacentral:ncRNA from 1 species